rnacentral:rRNA from 1 species
AGUGAACGCUGGCGGUAGGCCUAACACAUGCAAGUCGAACGGCAGCACAGUAAGAGCUUGCUCUUACGGGUGGCGAGUGGCGGACGGGUGAGGAAUACAUCGGAAUCUACUUUUUCGUGGGGGAUAACGUGGGGAAACUAACGCUAAUACCGCAACGGCCCUAGGGGUAAAAGCAGGGGAUCUUCGGACCUUGCGCUCUGAAGUGCGCCGAUGUGGGUUUAUCUUGUGGGCGGGGAAAAGGCCCACAAAGGCGACGAUCCCUAGCUGGUCUGAGAGGAUGAUCAGCCACACUGGAACUGAGACACGGUCCAGACUCCUACGGGAGGGAGCAGUGGGGAAUAUUGGACAAUGGGCGCAAGCCUGAUCCAGCCAUGCCGCGUGGGUGAAGAAGGCCUUCGGGUUGUAAAGUCCUUUUGGUGGGGAAGAAAAGCGUCAAGUUAAUACCCCGGCUUUUUGACGGUACCCAAAGAAUAAGCACCGGCUAACUUCGUG